GGUAGCGGAUUCUCAGAAGUGAAGAACUAAAUACUCCAGAAGACUUUGAAUUCAGAGGGAAAGAUAAAACUGCUCAAAAGUCACAAGACUCUCUCUUUUUUUGCUGCUUGUCUUGGCAGUACAUCUUGCCUUCAGCUUCAGAGUGGGAGUGAAAAACAUCUGCUUUCCUGAUCUCUUAUAGUCUAACAUAGAAUUUGAUGGACAGAAUGUUGGUACCAGCUAUGGAAGAGCUGUUCAGCCUCAACUCCAACAUCACAUUUAAAUUCUGCUUUAGAAGCUCAUCUUGGGAUCAAAGAACCUGGCUAAUCUAGCACUAAACAAGGAAUUUCAAGCUUACACUUCACAGUGCUGCUGUACACUUUGCUGUGUUUUUUCAAAGUGAUAAACUAAAGAAAUAUUCCAGUAAUGUCUGAAGAAGAAAGAAUAUUUUGUUAAUAAAUUUAGUAUUAAAAGGAG
ensembl:lncRNA